rnacentral:rRNA from 1 species
UGGCUCACCAAGGCCGCGAUCCGUAGCUGGUCUGAGAGGAUGAUCAGCCACAUCGGGACUGAGACACGGCCCGAACUCCUACGGGAGGCAGCAGUGGGGAAUAUUGGACAAUGGGCGAAAGCCUGAUCCAGCCAUGCCGCGUGUGUGAAGAAGGCUUUCGGGUUGUAAAGCACUUUCAGUGAGGAAGAACGCCUUCGGGUUAAUACCCUUGAGGAAAGACAUCACUCACAGAAGAAGCACCGGCUAACUCCGUGCCAGCAGCCGCGGUAAUACGGAGGGUGCGAGCGUUAAUCGGAAUUACUGGGCGUAAAGCGCGCGUAGGUGGCUUGAUAAGCCGGUUGUGAAAGCCCCGGGCUCAACCUGGGAACGGCAUCCGGAACUGUCAGGCUAGAGUGCAGGAGAGGAAGGUAGAAUUCCCGGUGUAGCGGUGAAAUGCGUAGAGAUCGGGAGGAAUACCAGUGGCGAAGGCGGCCUUCUGGACUGACACUGACACUGAGGUGCGAAAGCGUGGGUAGCAAACAGGAUUAGAUACCCUGGUAGUCCACGCCGUAAACGAUGUCGACUAGCCGUUGGGGUCCUUGAGACCUUUGUGGCGCAGUUAACGCGAUAAGUCGACCGCCUGGGGAGUACGGCCGCAAGGUUAAAACUCAAAUGAAUUGACGGGGGCCCGCACAAGCGGUGGAGCAUGUGGUUUAAUUCGAUGCAACGCGAAGAACCUUACCUACCCUUGACAUCGAGAGAACUUUCCAGAGAUGGAUUGGUGCCUUCGGGAACUCUCAGACAGGUGCUGCAUGGCUGUCGUCAGCUCGUGUUGUGAAAUGUUGGGUUAAGUCCCGUAACGAGCGCAACCCUUGUCCCUAUUUGCCAGCGAUUCGGUCGGGAACUCUAGGGAGACUGCCGGUGACAAACCGGAGGAAGGUGGGGACGACGUCAAGUCAUCAUGGCCCUUACGGGUCGGGCUACACACGUGCUACAAUGGUCGGUACAAUGGGUUGCGAAGCCGCGAGGUGGAGCUAAUCCCAUAAAGCCGGUCUCAGUCCGGAUCGGAGUCUGCAACUCGACUCCGUGAAGUCGGAAUCGCUAGUAAUCGUGAAUCAGAAUGUCACGGUGAAUACGUUCCCGGGCCUUG